CAUAGAUCGAUGCUCAACCAAUGAGCCAUGCCAGCAGGGCACCUCCACUGCAUUUUGUUGAAAGAACGCUGGAGUGGGAGCAAGGAGAUUGGAGCUCUCACCUCAGCUUUACAAUGUUCGAGCUGUGCGAAAAUGGGUGCCUCUUGUCUUACUUAGGCCUCAGUAUCCUCAUCUAUAAAAUGGGAGGGUCAGACUAGAUCCUCUCCAAAGUCCUUGCCAGCAAUAGCACUCUGAUUUCUCUGAUUCUGCUUCUCUCACAGGCCUGAAGACACCAAGAGAUGGAAAAAUAGGCAGCUGUUCCCAGCCCCAGCCCCUCUGCUGCCUUGGAAUAGAUAACCACUGCAAGAGUGGAAACUGCUACUGUGAUGCAUUCUGCCAUAAGGCAUCAGACUGCUGCCCAGACCACCACGCCCUCUGCAGCCCUGGUAACUCACCUGCAGGCACAUUUCCACCACUUCUAGGGCUGAAUGCUGUGAUUGACAGAGACAAGCCCCUCGUAUCUACUUCAGGCCAAGGUCAGCAUGUCAACCCCUGACGUCCCUAACAAUCCUGAGAGCCUUGCAUUCUGUCCAUGUUACGUCAAAAGUGCCUACACAUUCCUCGCAGCUUUGUUUCCCUGCUGCUCCUUACCACCUGCUGCUCCCUCUCAGAGACACUUUUCCAGGUCCCACAGGGAGAGGUUAAGCUGUUGGUGGUGGGGGAUCAGGGUGGCGAGUGGGGUGGUUGGGUUCUAACGGUCCCACCUUCUCUUGCAGUGUAGGUGCCUCUUGACUGUGCCAUGUAGACUUUUGAAGGCGGACAGGAGUCUGCAGAGAGGUGCAGAGGAUGUUGGGCAGUAGCAGGAGGGUGGAAGGCAGGGACAGGAGAGGUGCUUUCUCUCUGUGUUUCUCAGCUCCUCAGAAUACCAAGAUGGUGCUGCAGAUGGUGUUGAGGAUGGAGAACCCACCAAGCCCUAAGAGAAGCAAUCUUAACCGAGUGCAGAGCAUGGUCCAGCAGUUCCUCCAAACCAGCCUCCCAGGGAUGCCCCUCUCCAUCUCUGUGAAGGGGACCAGGAAGAGAGCCUGACACCUCUCCUGAAGCCCCCCCACCAGUCCAUGGAGCAGAGCUCACCCUGCCCACCAGGACCUGCUGGGCCCAGUUGUGUUUGCCUCCCCGCUGCCAUCCCGUGUGCUUCCAAUGUGGCUCAACCAGAGGAAAAUGGAAAUCUGCUAUGGUUGUAAACACACUUUAAUGUGCAUAGAAUCAGCCAUACAAAAUAUAAAACAUCAAUUUGACUCAUGCUAUUCAUUGUUUUGUGAUAGUUACAGUGAAUCUAGUAAACUUUUUUUUUUUUUUUUAAGAAAUUUAAUGAACCGUGAAGCACCAUUUUUCACCCAAAGUAGAGACUAACUGAGCCUGUACAGUAAGACACGGCAGUUUUCUGGCCCAUCACGGCCUUUGUAAUGCUGAACCCUCCCUCACCUGUGCACCUUGGGGUGUGUACUAUUUUUUUUUAAAUUCUUUAUUGUUGAAAGUUUUGCAUAUGUUUCCUUUUCCCCCCAUUGACUUCUCCCCACCUGCUCCUACCCACAAGCGCAUGCCCCCAUUCCCCUAUUGUCUGUGUCCAUUGGUCAUACUCUUAUGCAUGGAUACAA